UACGGAGGAUGCUAGCGUUAUCCGGAUUUAUUGGGUUUAAAGGGUGCGUAGGCGGAAUAUCAAGUCAGCGGUAAAAAUUCGGGGCUCAACCCCGUCGUGCCGUUGAAACUGAUGUUCUUGAGUGGGCGAGAAGUAUGCGGAAUGCGUGGUGUAGCGGUGAAAUGCAUAGAUAUCACGCAGAACUCCGAUUGCGAAGGCAGCAUACCGGCGCCCAACUGACGCUGAAGCACGAAAGCGUGGGUAUCGAACAGG
rnacentral:rRNA from 1 species